rnacentral:rRNA from 1 species
GGGUUGUGAGGUUAAGCGACUAAGCGUACACGGUGGAUGCCCUGGCAGUCAGAGGCGAUGAAGGACGUGCUAAUCUGCGAUAAGCGCCGGUAAGGUGAUAUGAACCGUUAUAACCGGCGAUUUCCGAAUGGGGAAACCCAGUGUGAUUCGUCACACUAUCAUUAACUGAAUCCAUAGGUUAAUGAGGCGAACCGGGGGAACUGAAACAUCUAAGUACCCCGAGGAAAAGAAAUCAACCGAGAUUCCCCCAGUAGCGGCGAGCGAACGGGGAGGAGCCCAGAGCCUGAAUCAGCAUGUGUGUUAGUGGAAGCGUCUGGAAAGGCGCGCGAUACAGGGUGACAGCCCCGUACACAAAAGCGCAUGUGCUGUGAGCUCGAUGAGUAGGGCGGGACACGUGGUAUCCUGUCUGAAUAUGGGGGGACCAUCCUCCAAGGCUAAAUACUCCUGACUGACCGAUAGUGAACCAGUACCGUGAGGGAAAGGCGAAAAGAACCCCGGCGAGGGGAGUGAAAAAGAACCUGAAACCGUGUACGUACAAGCAGUGGGAGCCCCACCACUAAGCCAGUGGUGAACUCCACAUCCGCAUCCUUUGCUGAGGAUACGGUUAACGGAGCGAAAGCGACGUUCAACCGCAAAACAAGCAGAGGGGGCUUAGUGGUGGGGUGACUGCGUACCUUUUGUAUAAUGGGUCAGCGACUUAUAUUCUGUAGCAAGGUUAACCGAAUAGGGGAGCCGGAGGGAAACCGAGUCUUAAUUGGGCGUUAAGUUGCAGGGUAUAGACCCGAAACCCGGUGAUCUAGCCAUGGGCAGGUUGAAGGUUGGGUAACACUAACUGGAGGACCGAACCGACUAAUGUUGAAAAAUUAGCGGAUGACCUGUGGCUGGGGGUGAAAGGCCAAUCAAACCGGGAGAUAGCUGGUUCUCCCCGAAAGCUAUUUAGGUAGCGCCUCGUGAAUUCAUCUCCGGGGGUAGAGCACUGUUUCGGCUAGGGGGCCAUCCCGGCUUACCAACCCGAUGCAAACUGCGAAUACCGGAGAAUGUUAUCACGGGAGACACACGGCGGGUGCUAACGUCCGUCGUGAAGAGGGAAACAACCCAGACCGCCAGCUAAGGUCCCAAAGUCAUGGUUAAGUGGGAAACGAUGUGGGAAGGCCCAGACAGCCAGGAUGUUGGCUUAGAAGCAGCCAUCAUUUAAAGAAAGCGUAAUAGCUCACUGGUCGAGUCGGCCUGCGCGGAAGAUGUAACGGGGCUAAACCAUGCACCGAAGCUGCGGCAGCGAACGUAUCACCCAAGACAACUUUACGGAGUUGACGAUUGACGGAGCGAAGCGACGUCAAAGCGUUCAUUAAAGUCGAGUUGGCUUAGGGAUACGUUCGUUGGGUAGGGGAGCGUUCUGUAAGCCUGUGAAGGUGUGUCGUGAGGCAUGCUGGAGGUAUCAGAAGUGCGAAUGCUGACAUAAGUAACGAUAAAGCGGGUGAAAAGCCCGCUCGCCGGAAGACCAAGGGUUCCUGUCCAACGUUAAUCGGGGCAGGGUGAGUCGACCCCUAAGGCGAGGCCGAAAGGCGUAGUCGAUGGGAAACGGGUUAAUAUUCCCGUACUUGGUGUUACUGCGAAGGGGGGACGGAGAAGGCUAUGUUGGCCGGGCGACGGUUGUCCCGGUUUAAGCGUGUAGGUGUGUGUUCCAGGUAAAUCCGGUUCACUUUAACACUGAGGCGUGACGACGAGGCACUACGGUGCUGAAGCAACAAAUGCCCUGCUUCCAGGAAAAGCCUCUAAGCAUCAGGUAACACGAAAUCGUACCCCAAACCGACACAGGUGGUCAGGUAGAGAAUACCAAGGCGCUUGAGAGAACUCGGGUGAAGGAACUAGGCAAAAUGGUGCCGUAACUUCGGGAGAAGGCACGCUGACACGUAGGUGAAGUGAUUUACUCAUGGAGCUGAAGUCAGUCGAAGAUACCAGCUGGCUGCAACUGUUUAUUAAAAACACAGCACUGUGCAAACACGAAAGUGGACGUAUACGGUGUGACGCCUGCCCGGUGCCGGAAGGUUAAUUGAUGGGGUCAGCGCAAGCGAAGCUCCUGAUCGAAGCCCCGGUAAACGGCGGCCGUAACUAUAACGGUCCUAAGGUAGCGAAAUUCCUUGUCGGGUAAGUUCCGACCUGCACGAAUGGCGUAAUGAUGGCCAGGCUGUCUCCACCCGAGACUCAGUGAAAUUGAACUCGCUGUGAAGAUGCAGUGUACCCGCGGCAAGACGGAAAGACCCCGUGAACCUUUACUAUAGCUUGACACUGAACAUUGAGCCUUGAUGUGUAGGAUAGGUGGGAGGCUUUGAAGUGUGGACGCCAGUCUGCAUGGAGCCGACCUUGAAAUACCACCCUUUAAUGUUUGAUGUUCUAACGUGGACCCGUAAUCCGGGUUGCGGACAGUGUCUGGUGGGUAGUUUGACUGGGGCGGUCUCCUCCUAAAGAGUAACGGAGGAGCACGAAGGUUGGCUAAUCCUGGUCGGACAUCAGGAGGUUAGUGCAAUGGCAUAAGCCAGCUUGACUGCGAGCGUGACGGCGCGAGCAGGUGCGAAAGCAGGUCAUAGUGAUCCGGUGGUUCUGAAUGGAAGGGCCAUCGCUCAACGGAUAAAAGGUACUCCGGGGAUAACAGGCUGAUACCGCCCAAGAGUUCAUAUCGACGGCGGUGUUUGGCACCUCGAUGUCGGCUCAUCACAUCCUGGGGCUGAAGUAGGUCCCAAGGGUAUGGCUGUUCGCCAUUUAAAGUGGUACGCGAGCUGGGUUUAGAACGUCGUGAGACAGUUCGGUCCCUAUCUGCCGUGGGCGCUGGAGAACUGAGGGGGGCUGCUCCUAGUACGAGAGGACCGGAGUGGACGCAUCACUGGUGUUCGGGUUGUCAUGCCAAUGGCACUGCCCGGUAGCUAAAUGCGGAAGAGAUAAGUGCUGAAAGCAUCUAAGCACGAAACUUGCCCCGAGAUGAGUUCUCCCUGAGACUUAGAGUCUCCUGAAGGAACGUUGAAGACGACGACGUUGAUAGGCCGGGUGUGUAAGCGCAGCGAUGCGUUGAGCUAACCGGUACUAAUGAACCGUGAGGCUUAACCUUACA